rnacentral:tRNA from 1 species
GGCUUGUGGCUGAGUGGUAGAGCGCUUGCCUAGCACGUGAAGACACUGGGUUCGAUUCUCAGCACCA